rnacentral:misc_RNA from 1 species
GUGAAUCAUCAAAUUUUUGAACGCAAAUUGCACUUCUUGGUAUUCCGAGGAGUACACAUGCUUGAGGGUCAGUUAAAAAAAAAUCGUGCAUCUUUGAUGUUGCGGACCUGAGUAUUCCGAUUUUAUUAAUCGGUUACCUAAAAUUAUAUAUAUGUAAUGUGAAGCGUACUAAUUAUAGUCGCUAAUCAUUUAUACUUAUUACAUUACAACUAUACGAAAGUAUUUAGUUGGUGUAUAAAUUAUGAAAAUGACCUCAAGUCAUGUGAGAGUACCCGCUGAACUUAAGCAUAUCAAUAAGCGG